AGUUGAGGCCACAAGUCAGUGAAUAUAUUCAGGCCGAGAUAGACAGAUGUUUGGUGUAGAGGGAGUCUGGGUUAUGGGGGAAGACAGGGAAUUGGAGCUGAGUUGAAGGAUCCUGUCAGCCUUGAUGUUAAUGCGUGAGAGAGCAGGCUUGUGAGCUGUAAACACAACUCCCUCUGCGCCUUGUCUAAUGCUUAGUUUCACAGUCUUGUGGCUGUCAGCCAGUGGCC